rnacentral:rRNA from 1 species
UACGAAGGGGGCGAGCGUUGUUCGGAAUUACUGGGCGUAAAGGGCGCGUAGGCGGCCCCUUUUGUCGCGUGUGAAAGCCCCGGGCUCAACCUGGGAGGUGCGCGCGAAACGGGGGGGCUUGAGUUCGGGAGAGGAGAGUGGAAUUCCCAGUGUAGAGGUGAAAUUCGUAGAUAUUGGGAAGAACACCGGUGGCGAAGGCGGCUAUCUGGACGGUUUCUGACACUAAGACUCGAAAGCGUGGGGAGCAAACAGG